UAUUCCAAAGCCUAAAGGGCGGAGGGAGAAAACGCGGCAAAUGCCAAUGUUGCUGAAGGGAAAGCAUGUUGGGGGCGCUGUCCCAGAUGUCCUGCUGCAGAACUAGUCAACGUAGAAAUGUAAAGACCAGAAUGUGAUCGCAGAGAAAUUCCUUGCCGAUUUAAACAAGAAACGUUCGUUCCAGGAGUCAGGAAACUGUCUGGAAGACACGUGCGGUAAGAGUCGGAGAAGAAACAAGUCUGCAUCGAGCUAAGUGAUUUUGUGUCGUUAAAAUGGUAAAUGCUUUGGAAGUCCCUUGUGUCACUUCAUCGGCUUUAUUCCAUAAACAUUUGUGGAAAGCAUCUUGUGUUUUAUACGAACGCACCUUACUGGAUACUGGAAAUUCAAAGAUGAAUGUAACUCAGCCCCUGCCCCUGAAAAGUUCACACCGUGGGGCCCGGGAGUGGGACUAGCCUGGGCAAGGUCCUGGACUGGGAAUGAUAGUGUAAAGUAGCUUUGGAGACUGCCUUGACUGAAACGGGAGGGUGACCUCAAAGAGCAUGGGCGAUGGUGUCCUAUGAACAUAGCGGAGGAUGGGGGCAGGGGGGAGGGUAGUCCGGGAGAGAGGAGGUUAGGUGCCAAGCUGAGAAUGUUUGAAACCAAAUCCGGUGGUUAGGAACCUGUGUGUUUUCUUGAGUAGGCUCCACACCCAGCAUGGGGCUUGAACUCAGGACCGUGAGAUCAAGAGUUACAUGCUCUACUAACUAGCCAGCCUGCAACCCCCCCCUCCUCCCCGCUAACUGCCAGUCCUUUAACCCUAGUGAAUGGUUGAAAAACUGGUCCUUUCCCUAACCUACUUCAUUUUCUCCUACGAUAUAAUUAUGGUAUUUGAUACUGACUUUGCCCUAUGUCUUCACACAUGUCCUGGGCCAUGAUAAUAUGGGCAGCUAGAGUGGGCAGGUGGCUAUGGUUGGACAUUCUUUGUUGCUACAGAAAUUCUGUGCCCUUUCCUCCUUGAUGGUAGAUCUCCAAAUGUAUGAGCUUCCCUUUUGUCCAGGGAAAGUGACCCCCACCUCCCAGAGCCAGAGGGCAAAGUCUUUUCUGUAAAGAUAAUAAAUAUUUUUUUACUUUGAAGGCCAAAUAUAUGUGUGUGCGUGUGCAUGUUAACAAUAAUAUAUAAAUAUGGCAACAAUAUAUAGCUACACUUCUAAAAUAUUGAUGAAUGAAAUUGAAAUCAUGUUGCAAAUAAUAUGGACCUCAUUCCUUACUCAAAAUGUUAGGCUCUGCCUUCCUUCCUUCAGGCUGCUGUAACAAAAUACCACAGGCUGGUAUUAGAAACUGUAACAGAGUUUUCUUUCUCAUAGUCUGGAGGCUGAAAGUCCAAAAUAAGGCUAUCAGCAUGGUCAGCCAAGUGCCCUCUCUUGGGUUGUAGACUUCUUAUUGUAUCCUCACAUGGUGGGAACUCUGUGGGGUUUCUUGUAAGGACACUAAUCCUACUUAUGAAGUCUCCACUCUCAAGGUCUAGUCGCCUCCCAAAGGCCCCCCUACCUAAUACCAUCACAUUGGGCGUUGGGUUCCAACAUGUGAAUUUAGGGGGAUACAGCAUUUAGGCCAUAGCAGGAUGUAAGUAUAAAUAUUAAUAAGAAAAUCUCAUGAUGGGGCGCCUAGGUGGCUCAGUGGGUUAAAGCCUCUGCCUUCGGCUUGGGUUGUGAUCUCAGGGUACUGGGAUCAAGCCUCUCUGCUGGGCAGGGAGCCUGCUUCCCCACCUCUCCCUCUGCCUGCCUCUCUGCCUACUUUUGAUCUCUCUCUCUGUCAAAUAACGAAAUUUUAAAAAUCUUAAAAAAAAAAAAAAAAAAAAAGUAAGAGUAAUCCUGCCUCUGGCAACGAACUCCCAGCUGUGUGCCAGCAUAAAUAGACACGAAGCUCAUUGUAGCAUUGUUCUGCAAAUCCCAAACAGGAAGUGGCGUGAUUGUUUAUCAGUGAUAGCAAAGUAAACCUUAGGUACUAUUCAUACUCUAGAAUAUCAUAACAGGUAAAACAAACAAAUGAUAGUCACGUGCAAAUAUACGGUAGCCCAAAAGAAAACCAGGGUAAAGAUAAAUAACAAAAAGAAAAUAAAAGUAUAAUUUCAUUUAGAAAAUUUUGAAACUAGGAAGAACAAAUCUAUGUUAUCUAGGGAUGCAAAGAUAAAUAGUAAAAACUACAAGGAAGGGCGCCUGGGUGGCUCAGUGGGUUAAGCCGCUGCCUUCAGCUCAGGUCAUGAUCUCAGGAUCCUGGGAUCGAGUCCCGCAUCGUCCCGCAUCGGGCUCUCUGCUCAGCAGGGAGCCUGCUUCCCUCUCUCUCUGCCUGCCUCUCCGUCUACUUGUGAUCUCUGUCAAAUAAAUAAAUAAAAUCUUAAAAAAAAAAAAAAAACUACAAGGAAAAGCAAAGUAAUUAGGAUUGCAGUGACCUCUGGGGAAAAGAAGAGGACUGCGAAUCAGCAGGGGAGAGUCUUUGGGGGCUGUCCGUGUUCUUUUUUUUGUUGUUAACUGAAAUCUAAUUGACAUACAAAAUCCUAUGCAGGUAUACCUCAUAGUGAUUCAGUAUUUUUGUACAUUACAAAAUGAUUACCCUAUAAAGUUAUUACAGUGUCAUUAUUAUUAUUAUUUGUAAUGGUUUUUUAUUUUUAAAAUUUUAAAAAAAUCUUUGUUUAUGCGUUUAAACUUUUUUUUUAAAGAUUUUAUUUAUUUAUUUGACAGAGACACAGCCAGAGAAGGAACAUAAGCAAGGGAAGGGGGAGAGGGAGAAACAGGUUUCCUGCCAAGCAGGGAGCCCAAUAUGGGGCUGGAUCCCAGGACCCUGGGAUCAUGACCCAAGCCGAAGGCAGAUGCUCAACCAAGUGAGCCACCCAGGUGCCCCAAUUUUUGCAUUAUUUUAAAAAAUUAAUACUUUGGUUGUUUUCUGGUUCUAGAAGUAGUACAUGCUGAAAUGACUAUCCCAAAAUCAAGGUUACUUUCGUGGGGAGGGCAGGAGAAAGUUAUGGUCAGGGAAGAGUUUUAUCUAGAGUGGUGACAAUCUUAUUCUUGAUGUGGGUCUUAGUUGUACAGAUUCUCUUUAUAAUUUUCAUUUAAACUAUAUAUAAAAAUUGUAUGUAGGGGUGCCUGGGUGGCUCAGUGGGUUAAAGUCUCUGCCUUCGGCUCAGGUCAUGAUCCCAGGGUCCUGGGAUCAAGUACUGCAAGGGGCUCUCUGCUCAGCAGGGAGCCUGCUUCCCCCUUUCCCUCUGCCUGCCUCUCUGCCUACUUGUGAUCUCUGUCUAAUAAAUAAAUAAAAUCUUUAAAAAAAAAAGUCUUUAAAAAAUAGUAUGUACUUUUAAGCAUAUAUAUGUCACAAUAAAAAGAUAAAAAUUGUUAUAAAUUUGGAAAUCAAGUGUUUUGUUUUAUUAAAGAUGAAGAGCAUUGAAAUAUUUGUACCACCCAAACUCUGUGAAUGGUAGUUUUUUAGGUGGGAGAAAAAAAAAUAUUUGUUAACCUUUGUUGAACAAGCCUUUUUGCCUUUUGUUGGAAGAAACAAAUUCUGAGAAGUCGCCAGCAGGUGGUGCAAUGAAACAAGACUUGAUCUUGGAGCCUGAAAAGCAAACCAAGACAAAAACAUGAAAAGCAGCCAACACGCCACCUAGUCAUUGGAAAACAUUUUUGUGAAUUUCCUGCUAUCUACAAUCUUCCUCCAAUAUCUUCCAUCAUACAAAAGAAUCUGGUACAUACGGCUUCACUGGGGAACUGUCAGACUUCAUUCUCCAAAUGCAUCGAACAAAGAAAAACAUAGAUGCUCGAUGUUUUCUUCCUUUUGUUUCACAGAGGGCCUUCAAAAUAAUAGAGGAGUGGCUGGGAUUCAUGAUAUAGGGCUUUUGUGUCUGCAACAAAUGAGAGCAAAGGUGUCUACUAAUACACUCCUCGUGUAUUCUGCUAUGGCAUUUGGCUUUUGAGAUGAAUUAGGAAGUGUUUAGCUUCUAAACCUUUAUCAAGCGCUUCCACACAUCUCUGGCCAUUGGAGGUUGGGGAAAUUUUCACUAGAGAAUUCAUAAUAGAAAAGAUAAGAAAAAAUUUUUUUUAAAUCUGGAGACCAAGCCAAAAAAGGGAUCACCAUGCUCAUUGUCCCUUUUGUCAAGAUACAUUUCUUUGGGGCAAGGUGGGCAUUAGGACUGACAGAGGAAGAUGGUGGUAAUGGGCGAUUGGUUACAGAUGAGAAGGAAAGAUCAGAUAAAUAAUUAUGCUCAGGAUAAUGGGAGCCAGGUUUCCCACUGUUGGAAAAGGGAGUUGAGGAUAUGGAAAAGGGAGAAAGCUAGAAUGAACUCUGUGGAGUGGAAUUGGAUAUUGGUGUGAGGUCGUAGUUUUCCACAUUAAAGACAGAGUAAAGGUGCAAAUAUGAGCAAAUAUCUAUGUACACACAUACAUAUGGUCCCUAGAUCUGUCCUCGAAGACUGCUGGCAGUAGUGACAUCCUGUAGUGAUGAACACACAUCGAGUACCUUGAACUUGAUUUCUAGAUUCCUUUCUCCACUAACCGGAACCAGGAAUGUUUGGAGAAAUGGCUCAUUCCAGAGUUGGAAGAGGGAAAUUGUAAGAUGUGCUUGGAACUUUUUUUUUUUUUUUUAAGAUUUUAUUUUUAAGUAAUCUCUAUACCCAGUGUGGGGCCUUGAGCUUACAAACCCUAGAUCAGGAGUCUCAUGCUGUACCAGCUGAGCCAGCCAGGCACCACUGGAACAUCUUCUUGUGUCAAAAACCAAGGAAGGACUCAUUGUGGGGACCUAUUGCAAGGACACAAAAGUCAGUUAAGGAAAGAGAGUAACUUUACAGUAGAGAAGCUGGGGAAACAUUAAGUGAAAUGAACAUCAUCUCUCGUGGAACACAGUGAAGUUUUCAGACCCCCUGAUGAGCUGCCAUGAGAACACAGCAUCACUUCUGUGGUGGUCCUAAACAAGGAUACCCAACCUUAGUCUAAUCACGAGGAUGUAUUAGGCAAGCCCUAACUGAGGACAGUUCUACAAAAUAACGGUCCUGUCCUCUUCAGAAAUACCAAGAUAAGAAAGACAAAGAAAUAUGGAGGGAGUGUCCCAUAUGAAAGCAGACUUCCAGAGGCGUGGCAGCCAAACCUAGCGAGUACUUGGAUCUUGCUCUAAAGAGCACUGUUGGCACAUUGGAAAGCUUGAAUGGAUCUGAGGAUUAGAGGGUAGUGAUAUAUUAGUCUUAAUUUCGAUGAUUGUGCUUUGGCUGAUUAGGAAAAUGUUCUUGAUUGUAGGAAGUGCUCACUAAAAUAUUCAGGGGUGAUGGGGCAAAGCACAUCAGCCAAAUGGGUCUGAAAAAUCCGUUCUUUGUACUGUACUUGCAGCUUUUCCUUAAGUUGGAGAUUGUUAAAUAAGUUAAAAGAUUUUGGGGCAUCUGCGUGGCUCAGUGGGUUAAGCCUCUGCCUUCUGCUCAGGUCAUGAUCUCAGGGUCCUGGAAUUGAGUCCCACAUCGGGCUCUCUGCUUGGCAGGGAGCCUGCUUCCCCCUCUCUCUGCCUGCCUCUCUACCUACUUGUGAUCUCUCUCUGUCAAAUAAAUAAGCAAAAUCUUAAAAAAAAAACUUCAUAUGUAUGUGUAAUCAAUUUACAGAAAGGGAGAAAAUAUUUACAAUUGUGUAUGUGAUAAGGGACUUGUAUCCAGAAUAUAUAAAGAACCCUUACAACUCAACAGUAAAGAAGGUAAAUCGCCCUGGGCACCUGGGUGGGUCCGUUGGUUAAGCAACUACUUUCAGCUCAGCUCAGGGUCCUGGAGUCCUGGGGAUCCAGUCCGCAUCGCAAUCCCUGCUCAGUGGGAAGCCUGCUUCUCCCUCUGUCCCUCUCCCCUCUCAUGUGUGUGCGCUCUCUCUCUCUCAUUCUCUCUUUCAAAUAAAUAAAUAAAAUCUUAAAAAAAAGAGGGGGGAAAUAACCCCAUUUAAAAGUGAGCAAAGGAUUAGAAUAGACAUUUCUCCAAAAGAAGAUAUAUGAAGGGUCAAUAAACACAUGAAAAGACACUCAACAUUUUUAGCGGUUAGGAAAACACAAAAUUAAAACCACAAUGAGAUAGACUCCACACAGAACUGUAAGGAUGGCUAAAAUGAAAAACAGACAAUAGCCAGUGUUGACAGGGAUGUGGAGACAUUGGAGCCUUCGUACAUUGCUAGUGAGGGUGUGAAAUGGUGUGGCUACCUUGGAAAACAGUUCGACAGUGGCUCAAAAUGUUAAACACAGGGGCACCCGGGUGUUAAACACAGUGGCUCGACAGUGGUUCGACAGUGGCUCAAAAUGUUAAACACAGGGGCACCUCGGUCAGUUAAGUGUCUAACAUUGGCUCAGGUCAUGAUCUCAGGGUGGUGGGAUCGAGCCCCAAGUCUGGUUCCCUGCUCAGCGGGAAGCUUGUUUCUCCCUCUCCAACUCCCCCUGCUUGUGUUCCCUCUCUCUGUCUAAUAAAUAAAAUCUUUAAAAAUAUGUAAAUUAAAAAAUAAAGCUUUAUUUAAUAAAAAGAGAA